CCACCCCCCCCUCUCUCCCCCUCUCCUUCCUCCCCAUGUGAUUGCAGCACCACCCCUCAACCCUAGCCCCCCCUCCUCCUCUCCAUGGUGCAGCCUCCCCGCUUGGUACCCCGUCGUGUGGGUGCGAGUCUUCCAUUGGAGUUUGGAGGGAGGAAGAAGGAAGAAAGGAAGGAGGAAAGGAGGAACCCAAGGUGAUUUUAAGAUCAUUCUUUUUAGUAUUUGUGCUGCAAUCCAAUUGAUUACAUGUUUACCUAUGCGAAUCGGUAUAGGUGCUGUCCAGAUUUUUGUGGGAGGACGAACAGCAUUAGUAUUAGCAGAUUCUGGGGAUUUUUCGUGGGAAAUUAGUGAUAAUCAAUAUGAUAAUCAUGUAGAGCUUUGUCAUACCUUUCCAACGAGUACUUAUGCGCUUGAUUCGGAGUUAUAAUUUAGGAGCUAUCACUGUUUGAAUCCGGGUAUGUUGCUGUCCAAAAAACAGAUUUCCGCAGGUGGGCGAACAGCAUUAGUAUUAGCAGAUUCUGGGGAUUUUUCGUGGGAAAUUAGUGAUAAUCAAUAUGAUAAUCAUGUAGAGCUUUGUCAUACCUUUCCAACGAGUACUUAUGCGCUCGAUUCGGAGUUGUAAUUUAGGAGAUAUCGCUGUUUGAAGCCGGUUAUGUUGUUGUAAAAAAAACAGAUUUUUCAGGUGGGUGAACAGCAGUAGUAUUAGCAGUUUCUAGGAAUUUUUCGUGGGUAAUUAGUGUUAAUCAAUAUGAUAAUCAUGUAGGUCUUUGUCUUAUCUUUCCAAUGAGUACUUAUGCGCUUGAUUUGGAUUUAUAUUUUAAAAGGUAUCGCUGUUUGAAUCCGGAUAUGUCGCUGUCUAAAGGACAAAAAAAAAACAGAUUACAGAGUUCAUCUUGUGGACUGUUUUGGGCUAAUUAGAUGUUGAAAUUUAAUUAUAAAUUGUAUACAAAACUUGUGGGGAAUUUUAUGUAGAUGCCUCUGAAGUUUUUGUUUGUUACCGCUGCUGUCAUAAUUUUAAAGUUAUGAAAUUAUUAAGCAGCGCCGCUGCAGUUUGGUGGGUGUGGGGAGAGAUGUAACCCGCGGCGGGGUUUGAGUUUGUGCGUAGGUGCGGCGUCGUUUAUGAGCCUGAUUAUGUGAAAUUGGUGCACUAAGUUGUGUGUCAAAAACAGGUGGUGGACUUCCGGAUCGUACUUAGGGAUUUGCCCGAACUUCC
rnacentral:lncRNA from 1 species